UGCGUAAAAUUUCCCAGAAUUCCCUUUCUCAUCCGGGGAAAAUGGCUGCGAUGGUGCCGGCGGAGUGGACAACGAACUGGGAAAAAUCGGGAAAAUCGAAUUUCUGAAAUUAUGUCGUGUGCUUAGUGAAAAUAAAGGCCAUGAAAAUAAGACUUUCACAGAUAUUCAGCAGGCUUUCUAUGAGCUCUCAAGUCAUGUCAUUCAAGGAAAUCUAAAGCAUGACCAAGCAUCUAAUGUUCUCAGCGACAUUGUUGUGAGUAUUUAGAUGAUUCUGCUUUUCCUUAAAUUUUGUUUUGUAGGGAAGAUAAACAAAUAUAAUGUUCAGAAGCAGUUCUUAGAAAGAAAACUAAUUUUCUUACUGAAGUGACCUUAAUGACAUUAGAAUAUAAAAGUAAUUUUACAUUUUAAAAUCUCUGAUGUCACAAGGUAUUCUUUGAUAAGAACAGGAUUUAUUUUUAGAGUAACAGGAACAUUGUAUAUUACCUGAGGAAAACU